rnacentral:lncRNA from 1 species
CUUAUUGUGCUGUUCAGUUUGCAGUGGCCACUUCUGAGCCUAAAAAGUGCAGUUUGGAUUUUUCUUCUUUUGUGGGUGUGCCAUGGGCACAUUCCCAUUCUCUGGCGGUUGGUCACUCCAGUUCGUUCGGCUACAUUUGGACAGUGGUUUACCUGGUAACCUACGUUUGUGUGUCGUCUGGUGUUGGAUAAAUUGUCUGCAGUUUCAUUGCCUUGUAUUGUGUUGCUGGCUGCACAUUUGAAGUUCCUGAUGGCCUCUAGGGCUGCUUUGGAGUCGCAGUAGAUGGUGAUCAUACUCCAGUCUUGGUGGUGUACAUGGACUAGGGCCUGAUUGAUGGCUUCUAGUUCUACGUUAAAGCUGUUGGUUGUUUCAGACAGUAGGAAUGAUUCUUUUAUUUUCAAUUUUGGUAUAGAAAAUGCACAGGUGGACUUCCUGCUUGUCGUGCAUGUGAAUCCAUCUGUGUAUAUGUAUAGAUGGUCUGGUGGUUCAUCCUUGUUGAGUGCUAGGAAGGUUGCUGACGUGAGGUGAGGGUCUUGUUUAGCUGUUUUUUUGCUCAUAGGGAACAUUUCGACGGAGAUUGAGAAUAGUUGCCAUGGUGCUAUGGGGUCCGUGUGUGGCUGAUCAUUUGGUCUAGUUUUUGGGUAUAUUCUGUUUGAUGACUUUAACUCUAUUAAGUGUCGGAUAGUUGAUGGGUUGCUUCUAGUUUUCCAUUCCUUGGUGGUUUUUUUACAAAUCGUAGAUUGUCUGAUACGUUGGAUUCCAUGGUUUACUGCAUAGCUUCGUUAGAUAUCUUUUUCCUAGAAGAUCCCAUCUUUCUUGCAUACAAGUUAUUCCCGUUUCUGCCUGCAUUAGUGCUAUGGGUGUUGAUUUUAUGCCCCCGAGGAUAGAUCUUAAUAUACAGUUUUGUGUUGUUUCUAGUUUUAGGAUUUUUUUUUCGGGGCCGAUGAGAUGACUACGGCUCCAUAAUCUAUUUUGCCGCGGAUGACUGUGGCAUAGAUACGAAGAAUGAGAGUAACUUGUAGCGGCUGUUUGCCAUAGGUAAGCAUUUUCAAUAAGGUGGCUCUUUUUUGUGUGCUAGUGUUGAUGUGUUGAUGUGUUGGUCCCUUGAUAGCCUUGAGUCAAACAGGAUACAUAGGAACUUUUAUUGUUUGGUUACUUUGAGGCGUUCGUUGUUGAUGAGUAGAUUUGGCUCCCGUUCUUCUUUUGUUUUCCUUGUAAAUAUAACAGCUGCGCAUUUGGAGAAAACUGGCAACUACGCGCGAGGGGAAAGGGUGAAACUUUUAUAGGAAUUGAAAAAUUUUCAUUUUCAAAUCGAAAUUAAAAUGAUUUUUCAAAUAGCAUGGUAUACUAAACUAUAAAUGCGCUCAUAGAGCUAACGAUGUUCUUUUUUAAAAGCCCUUUAGAAACCACCUAGCCUUAUUUUCCGUCCCGUACAAGAGAGCCAAAGUAGUCCCAUUUACUACUACCUCUCUCUACUGUGUGGAAACUUUUCAUUCCAAUUUUAAAUAGCCCUUCCUGUAAACAAAAAAAUCCCCAAAAAAUUCAUGAUAGAAAACUUAGAUCUAAGAACCCCCAAUCCAAAAAUCGUUUUCGUCGGACGAAAACUUGAUUUUUUGCAAUUUAAAAAAAAAACGUUUUCCCAUAAGCUUCUCUCAGCCGCUCUCAGCUGUGCGGAAACUUAAGGAAGUUACUGUAGCUACAAUUGAUUUUCUUUACUAUUUUAUUCUUCGUUUUAUCUACUUUUUUUGCAAUUUUCAACUUUUUCCAAGGAGCCGUCCAUAA